rnacentral:rRNA from 1 species
AUUGAACGCUGACGGAAUGCUUUACACAUGCAAGUCGAACGGCAGCACGGACUUCGGUCUGGUGGCGAGUGGCGAACGGGUGAGUAAUGUAUCGGAACGUGCCCAGUCGUGGGGAUAACGUAGUGAAAAUUACGCUAAUACCGCAUACGAUCUAUGGAUGAAAGCGGGGGAUCGCAAGACCUCGCGCGAUUGGAGCGGCCGAUAUCAGAUUAGGUAGUUGGUGGGGUAAAGGCCCACCAAGCCAACGAUCUGUAGCUGGUCUGAGAGGACGACCAGCCACACUGGAACUGAGACACGGUCCAGACGCCUACGGGAGGCAGCAGUGGGGAAUUUUGGACAAUGGGCGAAAGCCUGAUCCAGCCAUUGCGCGUGCAGGAUGAAGGCCCUCGGGUUGUAAACUGCUUUUGUACAGAACGAAAAGGUUUCUACUAAUACUAGGAGCUCAUGACGGUACUGUAAGAAUAAGCACCGGCUAACUACGUGCCAGCAGCCGCAGUAA